AUAGAGAGAGAGAGAGUUUGGCUAAAGUAUUUCUAAUAGUAUCAAGCACUUGGUGUUACCAAGUUAAUUUUUCACCGUUAUAUUAUAUAUCCCUGUAACCAUUUCCUCCUUUACUAUUCAAGUAACCACUUACUUUAUCAUAGAGGAUCAUUAUCAUCCUGACCGCACAUUCUUAGUAACUAUCCUUCUAGAAGGAUGGAGACCUUCGUCCUCCAAAAUCAUUUUAGCUGAUAGAAAUUUCGAAUCGAUGAUCGGAACCGUUAAAUACGAUCUAGAGUAUUUAAAGUGUCUAUGUUGGAAGCGUGAUUUACUCUAACACCACUU
rnacentral:lncRNA from 1 species